rnacentral:rRNA from 1 species
AUUGAACGCUGGCGGCAGGCCUAACACAUGCAAGUCGAGCGAGCGGCGGACGGGUGAGUAAUGUAUGGGGACUGCCCGAUAGAGGGGGAUAACUACUGGAAACGGUAGCUAAUACCGCAUACUAUCGGAUAACCCAUAUGGGAUUAGCUAGUAGGUGAGGUAAUGGCUCACCUAGGCGACGAUCCCUAGCUGGUCUCAGAGGAUGAUCAGCCACACUGGGACGGAGACACGGCCCAGACGCCUACGGAGGCAGCAGUUGGGAAUAUUGCACAAUGGGCGCAAGCCUGAUGCAGCCAUGCCGCGGGUAUGAAGAAGGCCUUAGGGUUGUAAAGUACUUGCAGUCGGGAGGCGUGACCGACAGAAGAAGCACCGGCUAACUCAGUGUCAGCCGCCGCGGUAAUAC